CCUCGGCUGUGCGUGGGAACUGAGCGAGGGCAGAGUUGGGGGCCCAUCCCUCCAGGGGAGGCUGCGAGGAGGCUGGGAUUAGGAGGCCCCAGCGGAGCCCAGGGAGGGGUUCAUCAGACUGUAACUUAGGCCAGCAGAGCUUGGUGGCCCCAGACAGGCUCCGUCCACCAGACGGGUGCACCUCGAGAGCAGCCGCCGCCCACACUGCAGGCCAGGCAUUGGCCGGAGCCCUGUGCCGGGUGGGAGCUGCCCUGGGGCCUGGAGGACCCUCCGGCCACCACCAGCCUUAAGUCAAAUUGUUCACAUUCUUUGUGGCUGGGGUAAAGGAUAAGGACAUUUUUGUGGCAAGAACAAAAUUGUUGACCUUGGAGUUGAAUAUUUUUGAACAGCUUUUGACUGUAGACAAGAUUAAAAGUCAGGGAAGAUGGACGUUGUGUUUGGUGGACGCUGGUGCGUGCGGCCUCGGGGAAGCACUCUGAUGCCCCCACACUGCACCCUGCAACCGAGGGCUGACAUGAGGGAACGAUGGUUAUCCCUGUGACUUUGCUGGCCAGGGCUCCAGGGGGCAGAGGCUGCCUGCCCAGACCUGCAGUUCAGCUUCUCUGCUCUUCGUACCCCUAGAACAAGAGGCCCUGGGGCCUGCACCAGGCAGCUUCGGGGGCACAGGCCGAGCUCCAGAGUGCCCAGGCCACAGAGAACCGCCCACACAAGACCACGGCACCGUCAGCGCCCAUAGAGCCUCCCGAGGUAAAACGAGAGCCUCGGGGACUCGGGAAAUCCAUGGCACACUUUUCACCUCCCCAGGCGCAGCUGAGUGCCUCUCCCGGCGCUCCAGAAACCUCCUGGUCUCUGCUGCUUGUUCAGCUUCUCAGUCGGAGCCAGGCACCUGCAGCCCUGGAGGAACCUGGCGGUGAGUUUCCAGACGGGACGCAGCGCCUCCGGCUCAUGCCUGACCUCCUGGACUGAUCCAAGGCCAGUCAGCCCUGAGGAGAGGCCAAGACCACAUUCUCCUGGAAAGCAAGUGGACCCAGGACUGGGCAGGGACGAAAGUCCCCGCUCCAGCUCCCAGGCGGGUGCUGUUCCAUGAAACAAGCUGGAGACCUCAGACUCACCCAGGAGAAGAGUGGUACCUGUUUACUGCAGACACCGUGGGGCUUUGAAGGGAGGGACGUGAGGCCCUGGGGCGCCAGCUUCCGAGGGGAGAGGGAGUGACGGGGGAAGUGUGAGCAGCCCACGGAGCAGAGGCGGCGACUCGGUGUCUUGUGGUGCGUCUGAGGAGCAGUGGGAGCGCCUCUCGCCUCCCCCGCGCCCCGGGGAGUCCGUGGUUCCUUGAGGAUCUGACGUCAGGAAUUGAGAGCCUCUCCCCACAUCCACCGCUUUUCAAGAGACUCUGGCUACUUUGGGGUGGCGCAUCCUGAACUCCAGUCACUGGGGCGCCUGGGCCCCACCGGGGACCUGCCUCUUCCCAGGCGCGCUCACCUGUCUCCCCAGGUGUGCCUGGCAGGGCGCAUGCUGGGCCCGCGGGGAGCAGGGCUGGUUUCCACAGGCAGCGCUGCGGCCCCAGACCCUGAGCCGAGGGACCGCGAAACACCCUCCCCCACUAUCCCCUCCUGAGACACUGCGGUGAGGGAGCCGCCGCGGAAGGACAGCAGAAGUCCAGGUGCCGUAGCUGGGAGACAGCUCAGGGGGAGACCCUCGCGCCAGUGGCCCGGGCAGAUUUGCGCCCAGGGCUGGGAAGGAUAACUGGGCCCCCAGACUCUGGCAACUCGCAGGCGGUUAGACACAGCGCCGGGCGUGGGAGCCGAAGCGUCGUUCCCUUCCUGGCAUAUGUCAGGGGCACAGCACGCGGGGCGGGUGGGUCCUGCCCUGCCCUUCUCCAGGACACAGACGCACGCGUGAAUGUGUAACGCACAACACACGUCCGCAAACAGGAACACACACGCAGGGAGGCACGGAGCCGCACCUUCUUUGCAGAAUCAUAAUAGCAGCUA